rnacentral:rRNA from 1 species
GAUGAACGCUGGCGGCGUGCCUAAUACAUGCAAGUCGAGCGAACGGACGAGAAGCUUGCUUCUCUGCUGUUAGCGGCGGACGGGCGAGUAACACGUGGAUAACCUACCUAUAAGACUGGGAUAACUUCGGGAAACCGUAGCUAAUACCGGAUAAUAUUUUGAACCGCAUGGUUCAAAAGUGAAAGACGGUCUUGCUGUCACUUAUAGAUGGAUCCGCGCUGCAUUAGCUAGUUGGUAAGGUAACGGCUUACCAAGGCAACGAUGCAUAGCUGACCUGAGAGGGUGAUCGGCCACACUGGAACUGAGACACGGUCCAGACUCCUACGGGAGGCAGCAGUAGGGAAUCUUCCGCAAUGGGCGAAAGCCUGACGGAGCAACGCCGCGUGAGUGAUGAAGGUCUUCGGAUCGUAAAACUCUGUUAUUAGGGAAGAACAUAUGUGUAAGUAACUGUGCACAUCUUGACGGUACCUAAUCAGAAAGCCACGGCUAACUACGUG